GCUGCCGUCGAUCGGGUACAGGCCCGAGAAGACCAUCGGCUUGGGGUCGGUGUAGCCGGCCAGAGCGACGGUCGCGGGUCGGGCCGCAUUGGUGACGGUAUCGCCGACCUUGGACUGGCGCACGUCCUUCACGCCGGUGAUCAGGUAGCCGACCUCGCCGACACCGAGACCCUUCGUGGGAGUCGGCUCGGGUGAGCUCACGCCGAUCUCGAGCAGUUCG
rnacentral:rRNA from 1 species